rnacentral:lncRNA from 1 species
CGCGCCUUCCGGUGCCAGUGGUGGACCACAAGAAUGGCACAUAUGAGCUAGUGUACACAGCGCGCACGGAAGGCGAGCUGCUCCUCUCGGUGCUGCUCUACGGACAGCCAGUGCGCGGCAGCCCCUUCCGCGUGCGUGCCCUGCGUCCGGGGGACCUGCCACCUUCCCCGGACGAUGUGAAGCGCCGUGUCAAGUCCCCUGGCGGCCCCGGCAGCCAUGUGCGCCAGAAGGCAGUGCGUAGGCCCAGCUCCAUGUACAGCACAGGCGGCAAACGAAAGGACAACCCAAUUGAGGAUGAGCUCGUCUUCCGUGUUGCAGUCGUGGAAGGGAGAAAGGU